UAGCGUUGCUCGGAAUUACUGGGCGUAAAGCGCACGUAGGCGGCCUCUUAAGUCGGGGGUGAAAGCCCAGGGCUCAACCCUGGAACUGCCUUCGAUACUGGGAGUCUUGAGUGUGGAAGAGGUUGGUGGAACUGCGAGUGUAGAGGUGAAAUUCGUAGAUAUUCGCAAGAACACCAGUGGCGAAGGCGGCCAACUGGUCCAUUACUGACGCUGAGGUGCGAAAGCGUGGGGAGCAAACAGG
rnacentral:rRNA from 1 species